CUCUCAUUGGCCAGAUAUUUAUUACUUAAGGGUAAUAUUUCAGUGCAGAGAGAAUAAAGGAUUCCAUUUCCUUGCAUUUAGCAAAAAAUAUAUUUGGAUAUGAAUGCCGGAAGUAAGAAUAAUAUCCGAACCACGCAAUGC
rnacentral:ncRNA from 12 species